CUCUCCCUCCCGGCCAAUGAGCUUGGCGUAGACUAGCAGGGAGGGAGGAGGAAAGGGAUCGUGCUCCAGUGAGAGCUCAGCAAGAAAGGCCCAGGUCCCCCACUAGAGCAGAGCAGGCUGGAGAAGGUGUUUAUGGAUCUGACU